AUGCCGUGUCCUUCAAGAAGCCAGCUGGCUGCUUCUGAGGCCCACUUUACUUUACUUUGUGUUCUCAGGGAUGUGCCGGCUGGGAGCCACGUACAGGCAAGCGCAAGCACAGAAAUGGCUCCCCAGCAUAAGCCUACUGCCUUGGGACCUGCCUGGGAUGGCCGGGAACCUUCUACAUACAGUGCAUUAGUCUCUACAGCCACAGCCAACUCCUUCCCACAUCUGAAGAGUUUCAAAAAGGAAACUAGCAAGCCACCAUAGCACUGAGGUAGAACCACAACAAAACCUGGGGCAAUGGCAACUGCAUGAAUUUAAGCACUUGUUUUCAUUUUCCUCUGCCAUUUUUGACUGUUGUGGGUUUCAAUGGUGGUUUCAAACUCACUUCUUAGAAGUUUCAUUUUCUCUUCUUCUUGUAGCUUGGAUUUAGAUUAAGUAUAAUGGUAGAGGAGGUAAGGCUUGAAUCAUUUCCAUGCAUCAUCAUUGUCUGUAUCUUUUUUUCUUUUUUUUUUUAACAUUAACAUUCUUUGAAAAAACUACAAUACCUACCAGCAAGUAAUAACAAUGAAAAGAUAAAUUUAGGUAAUAUAGUGCAUUUGAAACAUCUGUAACAUAAGGCAACACUUUGGUGUGUCUUUAUCUGAAAAAUAUUUAUUUGCUAUGAAAGUAAGUUAAAGAGUAAAAUAACUAUUUAAAGCAGGUACUUCCAUGAUUCUUAUCAAAGCUGUGCCUGAGCCUGCCACGCAAGACAUAGUGUGCAUUAGUCUUGUGAAGCAGGGAAGCUUCUCUAGCUGUUGCUACAGCUGUAGGUCUGACAAGCAGAGAGGAAGCCAGGGACAAAGGAGACAGCAGACUCUCUAUAAGUAGUCCUUUGGGACCCUCUGGAUACAGAUUUAAAACCAGAUUUAGAUAACCCCAGGAGAUGGGGCAGGAUGGCAGAAUGCCUGCAACAAGAAGCCUGGUGAUCUGCCAUUGAUCUUCAGAGGGCCAUCAGAGACCAGAAGUGGGGGAAGAGUUGGGAAAGGCAAUUAACCUAAGUGGUCACAGAUGUUCUCACUCUGCAUCUGCCCUCUGCAGACAUCAGUGGUGUGGUUUCUGUGGAAACAGAAACUGUGCUAAAUGGAGCUGCUGUCCCUAGCAGGAUCUGAUUUUUCCAAAGAUGCAUGUUGCGGUAGCGCAACAAGAGCUUGUUGAUGCAGAAAGGUGUAAAACUAUCCUGCAGUAGCACUGUGUAUUCAGACUCAAACUAGAAUGGAUUAUUAUCUAGGAAUAAUUUCAGGGUUUGAUAAGAAUUAAUCCAACAAAUUAUUCUGAUGCAGGCAAGUCUUUAACUACUGCAAAAUCCCUAUGUAAUCUUGAGUGAGUCUGGGGUCAUUUCCAGCAGUCUUUUCUCUCCCAUUAUAAGCUGGCCGAAGAAGGUGCCAUGGAUGAAGAUUUUAAGAUUAUUUUUUGCUUUAAGGUUUUAGCUAAACUCCUGACUGAAAGAUUUAAGCAUGUGAGUGUGUCUGCGUGAGUGAAUUUAUUUAUUUACCUAUUAAGGACAACUUUUAUUUUACUGUUAUUUCUUAUUUUUAUAAUAUCUUAUUCGGUUAAGAUACCUUGCUGAGUGGACUGGGUUUCAUUUUUUACUGAGUCAUUCUGCCAUUUUCAAAUGUCUUGGGAAGUUGGGUACUUUUUUUUCCACCUCCCCCCCGAAAAAAUUGCAGUGCCCCUGCUUUGUUUUAUGCUGACGGCAUUAAAUUGGCAGAAUAGUCAUAAAGAUAAUUGACAAAAUGACAGGAUGGAAUAAAAUGUUGGAAGGAAAUAUCUGACUCA
ensembl:lncRNA